UUUCUUUUAGGAAGAUGACGUCCCUUAAAUGCAAAUUAUUCAUCCGCUUCACUUUGUCAGCUCAUUGUACCAAUAAUAAGCUGAUCAUUUUAAGAUGGAAUAUUU